UACGUAGGGUGCAAGCGUUGUCCGGAAUUAUUGGGCGUAAAGAGCUCGUAGGUGGUUCGGUAAGUCGGGUGUGAAACCUCCAGGCUCAACCUGGAGACGCCACCCGAUACUGCUGUGACUGGAGUCCGGUAGGGGAGCGUGGAAUUCCUGGUGUAGCGGUGAAAUGCGCAGAUAUCAGGAGGAAGACCAGUGGCGAAGGCGGGUCUCUGGACAGUUCCUGACGCUGAGGCACGAAGGCCAGGGGAGCAAACGGG
rnacentral:rRNA from 1 species